GACGAACGCUGGCGGCGUGCUUAACACAUGCAAGUCGAACGGAAAGGCCCUGCUUGCAGGGUACUCGAGUGGCGAACGGGUGAGUAACACGUGGGUGAUCUGCCCUGCACUUCGGGAUAAGCCUGCGAAACUGGGUCUAAUACCGGAGAGGAGCCAUUUUUAGUGUGAUGGUUGGAAAGUUUUUUCGGUGUAGGGUGAGCUAGCGGCCUAUCAGCUUGUUGGUGGGGUAAUGGCCUACCAAGGCGGCGACGGGUAGCCGGCCUGAGAGGGUGGACGGCCACAUUGGGACUGAGAUACGGCCCAGACUCCUACGGGAGGCAGCAGUGGGGAAGAUUGCACAAUGGGCGCAAGCCUGAUGCAGCGACGCCGCGUGGGGGAUGACGGCCUUCGGGUUGUAAACUCCUUUCGCUAGGGACGAAGCUUUUUGUGACGGUACCUAGAUAAGAAGCACCGGCUAACUACGUG
rnacentral:rRNA from 1 species